UUCCAUCCCCACUGACCAUCUCUUACAGUCAACUGCAACCUCCUAAUUGCCAUGUUCAUUGGUGUCUUACAAGAUCUUUGUAAAUAGAAAAGUUCCCCACCUGGUACCUGGGGGUCAGAUUAUGUGAAUUAGGUUAGGGAAUCAUACUUUAUCUUGAGGGCCAUUGAGGGGCUUUAAGCAAGGGAGACACAUCAGAUUUGGGUUUCAGAAAGCUGAUUCUGUCACUUUGGGGAGAUUGGAUGGGAUGGGGCAAGACUAAGAGGUGAUAUGAUGGAGUCUUGGAUUAGGAAUGGUGUGGGGAUAGAGAAGCGUUAAUGAUGGGAAUGAGAAGUAUGUAGAAGGCACAAUAACCAAGGAGGGCCUGAAGGCUGAUUAGAUACGGAGGGUGAUGGAGUGUCCAGAUUUCUGACAACAGCAUUUUAGGAACAAAACAGUCCCUGGUGACCUUCACGGGUGCUAUUUCAGUAGAGUACAGUGUCAGAAGGCAGAAGUAACGAAUGGGAAAUGAAGUGGAAAGAUGGAAUGUAGGCAGCUCUCAUGAAAUGUGUCAGUGCAAGGUAUUGGAGGAAAUAGGACAAGCCAGAGAAGCGUUAUGAAUGAGGAAAGGUUAUUUAACAUAGGAGAGACUUCAUUAUGUGUAAGUGUUAAAAGCAGUGAGAUUUUAGAGAAAAAUGUUGAAGGUGCAUAGAGAAAGGAUAACAGAGAAAGAUGUCCCUGGGAUGGUGGAAAGGUUGGCCUUAAGAGGAAGGAUGGGAGCAGAAAGUGCAUUUGUAGAUUUGAAGGCAGAAGUUGAAAAUGUCCACAUGUGACGGUAACUCUUUGUUAGAUUGUGGGGAGAUGGUGGGGUCAGAGGUCUAAGAAGACUUUUGAUUUGAAAGAGCUGUUUUAAAGAGUGCAGACUAGACUAUAGGAAGACUUAGGUGGUUUUCUGGGAAAACAGAGAGUCCAUAUGAGAUUGAGACCAGAAUAUACAGUGGGAGUAGAUAUGAAAAGCCAGGACCUGUCGCCAGUCUAUUUUCUUCACUGCUGCCAGUUUUCUUUCUGAAAACAGAGGGCACAUGCAGGCAUUCAGAAUCUCUCUGCACCCCCUUUGUCCCAGAUGAAAGUCCAGCUCUUCAGCCUAGAAGUUGGGGACUUCAACUCUGGGGCCUCUUUACAGCUUUGUUUUUCUGUUCCCCUGCAUGGUCAUACUAAUUAACCACACAGAUCUCUUGAUUGUUCCCUAAACACACCAAUGCACUUCCUGCCUAAAGCUGUACUAACACAACUAACACUCAAGAUAAAUGGUUUAGAAGAUAAGCUGUCAAUUUCUCAAACUCCUCUGAUUGCCAGCCUACCAAGUGCCUAUGCCAUGUGAUUCUGGUCUUCCAGAAUCAUAUUUAUAACACUCUGGCUUAUUAUAACACAGGUGCUGGCAUGUCAAGGAGUGUAGAUAUAAAUCAAUUUAGACACAUAGAAACUGCACACCCCUGGAUCUUCUCACAUAGCUCUUAUCUUUUGGUGCCUAUAUUAGAGAUCUUUACUUGCAGGUAACAAACAGGAAACCCACUGUAGCUAAUUUAAGGGGGGAAAAAACCCAAAAAAACUGAUGUGUUGAAAGACUAUGUGGUAGGUCCCAGAACUGAAAGCCAAAUCUUAGAAAGGGUGAGGUCUAGGUUUCAGAAAGGGUGGGUUGGUGAAAAGGUGUUGUUAGAGGUAGAGGACAUCCAUGGGAUGUUGGGACUUCCACCUUUGGGAUGGAGAAACAUAAUUGGCAAGUAGAUUGGGGAAAGCCUUUUCUUUUGAAAAAUUGCAGAAAAGCAUAAAGAAGAAAAUAACCCUUAUUCGUAGUCCCAUCACCCAAAAUUAUUAAGAUUAAUAUUUUGGCAUAGUUGCUUCCAGCUUUCCCCCCCGGAUAUACUUGGGUUAAAAUCACAUAAAAUGUUUAUACAUUUGCUAAAAUAAAUCCAUUCACCCUCAGCAGAUGUGGUUAAUUUCUGGCUGAGCAACCUGCCAUUGUGUUUAGCACUGAACAGCAGUGAGCCCUCUGUCGUUAGGAGGGCUUUCCCAGCAUGCACUUCUCUGUCAGAGACUUUAUCUGAGGUUGAAAUAACAGCGGAGGCUGACAGGUUUGCCCCAGCUUGUCAGAACUGUGGAGGCCAGGGUGGUGGUGGUUCAAAGUAUCACCGUGCAGAAAAAUAAUUGGAAAUGGGAGAGAUAACAGUUAAUUCACUAUGCUGGACACUGGAAAGAGAGGGCAAGGCCUGUGUAAUCAUCUGGGCCCUGGGAUUGGGGUCAACUUCCCAUAUGCUUUCCCUCCAAGCAGCUCAUUUUUUCACUUAUUCAAUCACCUGUUCAGAUAACCCUCACUGAUGCCUACUGUGUCCUUGCCCUUUUGCUAGGAUCUGGGCAUUUGGCGUAUGUGAUGACUUUUGGUCUAGUGAAGCAGAGACAUGGGCAGCCAACCAGAUUGAUUGUAACAGAUGAUCCAGAAGCUGAAAGGAAAGUGACCUGACCAAGGCUACAGAUAGUGGCAUCACACAGAUACCAGAUCCUGGGUCUCCUGACCCCAGCCCACUGUUCCUGCUCCAGACCAUGUUGCUUUGACAUGCUAACAAGUCAGCUGAUAACCCUGCAGCACCAUACACCAUCAUGGGUAAGAGGAAUGCAACUGCAUUACCAACCUGGUCUCUUGGGUGGUUCUCAAGCCCCUUGUCCCCACUGAGCCUGAGGAUGAGGGACUCAAGUCCACGUAGUCCGAGUAGGGCCUGUGGGUGGGAGAGUAUGUAAUGCAAGCCAGGCCAAUCAUGCUGUUGUAGCUCCCUGAGACGGUAGCGAAUGGCUCAGGGAUGCACUCAUAAUUCAAGUUGCGUCUAAUGACUCCAUCCCAGAAAUCCCAUUAGAAUUUUUUGGGGAAAAUGGUUUUCCCCUGGAAUUAUGCUAAACUAGAAGAAAUGGAGCUAGAGCUACCAAGAACUACCACACAGAAACAGCUCCUUCAAAACAAACUUGUAAAAUGAGGGGAGGUCUUGGUUCCUUAUACUAUGCCUGAGCCCGAUUCAGUCAUGCUUGAGGCAGAACCUACCUCCAAAAUUUAAAUGACAGACCAACAAGUGCCUUAACCAGUUAGAUGGAAUUCUGCCACUUGUCAACAGAAUCCUGCCUAAUUUGAGUGUGAAGCAGAUGGCCCACAAUGUCAUCACUAACCUGGCUUGGCAGACCUUCUUGAUCAGGAGGUACCAAGGUGCCACAGCACAGAAUAGUCUUUUCUGCCCACCUUAUCCCUAUCCCCUACCCACUCUCAGACCGACAUUAUUACCCCCACUUCCCACCAAAAGAACACAGAUAGCCAAAGGCAGCUUGGGCAAUACUUGAUAUACAUCAUACAUUUAUUAGUGAAUAUCCCUCUGAAAUCAGCAACAAUAUUAAAAAAAAUAAUGAUUGCACUACUUGGUCAAGCAGAACUAGCAACUUUCAUUUUAAAAAAAGUACAAAUCUGUUAAAAAUUUCAA